rnacentral:rRNA from 1 species
CCGGGAAGAGCCCAGCGCUUAAGCUUAUCGCUCUAACGGGUGAUGAGCGGUGUAGCGUAUAGGAGGUGAUCCUCCUUGAUGGCUGUCGACUUAAAUUCUCCUUGACUGGGGUUCCAGAGAAGGUGAAAGGCCUGUUCAGUCGAUGGCUGUCUUGGAUGCCGCUUUCCUUGGAGUCGGGUUGUUUGGGAACGCAGCCCAAAGUUGGUGGUAAACUUCAUCUAAGGCUAAAUACGGCCACGAAACCGAUAGCAAACAAGUACCGUGAGGGAAAGUUGAAAAGUACUUUGAAGAGAGAGUUCAAGAGGACGUGAAACCGGUAGAGUGGAAACGGAUAGAGCCAACGAACAAGCUCGUAUUCAGCUGGUCGGCUUCGUGCGACACGUUUGGGCGUCCCGGAUUGGGGUGCUAGACGGGUGCAGCAUGCGGUUGGUUAGUGCAUUUGCGGGUGAAGUGCGCUGAGGCGUGUGGUGGCGCCCUGCGAGCCGUUGCGUAGAGGCCUCGCCUUUGGGCUUGGAACCGGCGCUCGGGUAGUAGGGUUGCUGCUGCACGUAGCUUUUGGGUUUGGUGUUUCGCGCUUCCGUGUUGCGGAGCCUGGCUUUCUGGUCGGUCGCAUGCGACUAGGCCGUUGAGUUAGUCCUCGUUAUGCGGCGGUGCCCAAGCCUAUCCUCGGUGUAAAAGUUGGUCAUCUCUCCGACCCGUCUUGAAACACGGACCAAGGAGUCUAGCGUAUGCGCGAGUCAUUGGGUGGAAAGCCCAUAGGCGAAAUGAAAGUGAAGGCAUCCUUGCGGUGCUUAUAUGCGAUCCGUUGCGUUACGGCGUACGCGGAGCAGCAUAGCCCCGUCUUUGCGGCUUGCCGUAGGGCGGAGGUAGAGCGUAUUCGCUGGUACCCGAAAGAUGGUGAACUAUGCCUGAGCAGGAUGAAGCCAGAGGAAACUCUGGUGGAGGUCCGAAGCGCUUCUGACGUGCAAAUCGAUCGUCUGACUUGGGUAUAGGGGCGAAAGACUAAUCGAACCAUC